rnacentral:lncRNA from 1 species
AGGGAACCUUCCUUUCUUUUCAUAAUAACUUUCCUUUCUGGCUAGAAAACAAAAAUCAUCCCUGCUCCCCACCCAAGCACCGAGUUUGGGAAACACAACUUCAAGAGAAAGUUCUCAGUCGGCCACACUGCGGCUUGGGCAGGAGCGCUUCUGUGGAUUUCAACCUCACCUUUUCUUUUUAAGGUUUUUAAAAAAUUGUUUUCCUGUUGGUGGCUGCUCCGGAGGUGGAGGGAGAGGAAUUCUUGCUUCUUAAGCAGAGAGGCCCAUGUCCCACCUCUGUCGAGCUGGGGUGGCCCCUCGGCUCCAGCUUUUCGAAAAGCUCUCAUCUCCCCAGCUGACAGCACGGCAGGCCGGGGCCUCCGGCCGGGCGCGUCACACAGCGUGCAGAAGUGUUUCCAGGGAAGUAAGGCGUGGCCUCCUGUGGGGUCCCCGGGAGCAGGCACCGUCUCCUUGAAGUCUCCAAGUCCGAGGCAGCAGCCGGCGUUCAUCCCGCAGUGGCCCCGGCCACCCUGUCGUGUCCUUUUGCCCACUUCAUACAAACACAGCCGACAUCCACUGCUAAUUCCUGGGGGAGGAGUCAUCACGUGCGGCGCUCGUCAGCUGCCCCACCAGGGCUGUGGGCCUCAGUACUGGGGAUCAAACUCGGGACCUUGUGCUUGCGAGGCAGGCGGUGGAACCACAGAGCUACAUCCCCGGCCCCUGUAUUUCUUCAUUGAUUAAGUAUUGUAUUCUCUACCUUUUUGUUUUUGGCAUUGUUUUUUCCUUUCCUCAUUGGUUUAUAGAUGUUCUUUAUAUGUAAAUGUUCUGUGAUACAUGUAGCAAAUAUUUCCUCCCAGCCUGUCAUUUAAGGGCAGCUAUUUAUUUUUGUGACAUUUUUCACUAUACAUGUUUAAAAUUUUUACGUGGUGAACAUUCUUUUUUUUUGUUCUCUUUUUGACUUUUAGUCUUUAUGUCAUGCUUUUCUACACUGAGGUUACAAAUGUUUUUCCUAUGAUUUCUCCCAGUGCUUUUACUGUUUUGUUGUAUUAUACAGAGCUCUUUAACCCAGCAGUAUUUUAUUUUUGAGGGUGGUGUGAGAUUUGACAUGGUUUAGUUAUUAAGCUAAUCUUUAAAGCUUUUAUUUUUUCAGUUUUUCUUCAAAGAGAAAGCAGUUGCUUCAAAUUCAUUUUUUGGUUUUUUUUGAGACAGCGUCUCACUAUGCAGUUCAGGCUGGCCUUGAACUCACUAUGUAGCCCUGGCUGGCCUCGAACUCAUGGCGAUCCUCCUGCCUCAGCCUCCCAAGUGCUGGGAUUACAGGUGUGUGUCACCACACCUGGCCUCAAAUUCACCUUUUGAAAAUUCCAUCUUCUCCCAACUGUCUAGAAAUAUAUUCUCAAAGUGCCUUGUAAAUGCUAUGGUUUUCCUCUUUCUGGGUCGCCUCUUUUUUCCUAGACUGGCACAGCC